UCCUUGUGUCUCUCCAGAGUUCGUUGCAUUGCAAAUUUACUUUUGCAGAUAGAUAUGUGCAGUGCAUCCGAACAAAAUUUGCCAAGAUUCAGAGCCCUUCUGAGUUUUUUAACAAAUUUUUUGUCAGACUUGCUCAACAGCACAUAUCUUAGCGCUAAAACAGUACUCCAUCCAUAUCACAGUUAGUCUACAUUUCGGAUAUGGCUUAAGCCAAACUUUUAGAAUUUUUACUACGAAUAUCAUUUUGGAUGGUGUAUUUAUAUUGCAAAUUUUAAAAUCACAUAUAUAGAUUUGUCUUGACUUCUACAAUCCUUUACUCUUCUUGGUAUUUAUACUUAUAUCACAGUAGAAACUAGUGGUCAAAGUUACACCUUAAAGUUUACGUGAUACGGAGGGAGAGUAUUUAUCAAAUUACAAAUGUUUUUCGCUAUCCAAUCAUUACACAGGUGUAUAAAUGGUUUGAUGCAUCUUCUAUUGGUGAAUCUGAUGAUGUCCGGUUUGAUUAUUUCUGCACAAAGGUGAGUCCUUCUCGCUUCUGUCCUUAUAUUACAUUCUUGAUAAGGCAUUAUGGAAUUUAGUGCACUCAGCUCAUUUUCAGAACUAUGAAUCGUCUCUAUGGUACUUACUUUUAUCUGUUCGACUAAAAGGGGAUCUGCUCCGAGGCUUCAUUUUUAUUUGACAAUCUUCUUUUAGUCCUAUGCUAUCUAGCAACUGUCUAUAUUAGGGCUACAUCGCAACAGGAUAUAUCUCAUUCAAGGCAAGAAGAUGAUCUUGCUUGAUGGCGAGAGACCCCACUUCUUCCACAUAUACAAGAUGCAGAUCAGGGGAGGACAUCAUUUGGCCGUCUAUCCAUUGCCAGUGAGAAAGGAUUUCUAUCCGGAGGUGUCAGACUUGAAGUUUAGCUCAACUGAAAGUAACGCGCUAGACAUAAAUCUUUUCUUUUUUAGCUCAACUGGAAAUUGUUUUUUUAUCUGAAAGUGUUUCUAGUGGAUCAUAGAGAAACGGUCACUUUUGUUGCUUUUUUUCGCAGCAGAAGUGGCCUUUCAUGUCGUAGGAAAUAGGAGUUGAGGUGAUUUCCACUUACCGCCCUACUUACCGUUCCCAGGGCAUAUGUAAUUGUUGGUCGUCCGGCUGGACUGACGAACCUGCUUCAUCAUCAUUAGAACUUCAUCCAUCUUUUGUUUGGGACAGCAAUCGAGUGUAAUAAUUUAUGGAUAUGUAUGUAAACUAAGCAAGUAGAGAAGAGGAUUAGAGGAAGCCUGAGAUUUUGAUAAAAAAGAAGACCAGGCGUCCAAGUAUCUUCCUCAAUGUACCUCCCCCCUGGAUCAUCAUAUAUUGGCACAGAACGUAUCAGUGAAUGCAAGAGAUGUAAAAGCAAA